UGAUAAACUAUCUCCAUGAUUUGGACAAACUGGAUGAACUUAAGUAUUUUGAAAAUAUAUUCAGAUGUUUUACUGUGAUCUGAUUACCAGACAAGCCCUGCUUCAGAGCAGUAGAUGAAUGGCUAGAAAUGAAUGUCUGAAGUCUUGUUUGCACCUGGCAACAAAAGAUGGGCAAAUGUAAAAUACACUGCUUCUGUGACACAGGUAACUUUUCAGAGGAACCUGAGAAUCUGUGACUGGAUACAGUGAAUCAUCUUUAGCUGAAGAAGGAUGACUGAUUUGAAAGCCAAACCAAAGUACAGGUCAUGCCUUGUAACACUUUUUUGCAGAGCAAGCUAGUAAUCCUGCAAAGGUAGCACUUUACAAAUGUAGUUGCAGCCUUGUGCUAUGUUGUCUUUUGUAUCUUGCAAAGAUGCUUUUAUAUAUUAAAAACCUGAAAACAGCAAGUCUGUUUAGCUCAACGCUCAGAGAAUAACAUCCAGUUCUUUAUUUGGGUUCUGAGAACUAUUUAUAGGCAGGAAUUUUUUGUUGCACACCCAAAUUGGGACUGAAAAGGGGUAAGAUUACAGUUCUGUUUUACCAUGUACUCGUAAGUAUCUUGAAGCCAAUAACCCUAAAUGAGCAAACUCUGACAUCUGUUGCUAGCAUAAUUUAAUCUUUUCUACAUUAUUGUAAUAUCACAUUUUAGGCAGGGUUGUGGGUUUUUUUGUUGUUGGGGUUUUUGGUGUUUUUUAAAUCUGCAAUUUUUUCUUAGGCCCUUAGUUUGAGACAACAUAAUGAAAUACAUAGAGUAUCUGUUACAAACAUAUUACAAAUUAAAAGCAUGCUGAACUUGCACCUUUAACACACUUCAGCAUUUAUAUAAAAAAAGGAAAAUUUCAGAACCACAGUCCCUACUAAAAUAAGAUUUCUAAUAUGUAUGUACAAUGAUGGCUGAGCCACAAUGUCACAGAUAAUUCCCAAGAUCCAAAGUGUUAAAAAACACGUAGUCUUUGCCUUCAAACUUUUGUGUUGUUCAUCGUCUGUUUUAUGAAUAAAGAACAAACAGGAUGUAUUUGUGUAAGCUAGGUGAUAGUGAAAAUAUGAAUUCUACCAUUCCUUCACUUUUAAGGAUCACUUCUUAAUA